UACGUAGGGUGCGAGCGUUGUCCGGAAUUAUUGGGCGUAAAGAGCUUGUAGGCGGUCUGUCGCGUCUGCUGUGAAAAUCCGGGGCUCAACCCCGGACUUGCAGUGGGUACGGGCAGACUAGAGUGUGGUAGGGGAGACUGGAAUUCCUGGUGUAGCGGUGAAAUGCGCAGAUAUCUGGAGGAAUACCGGUGGCGAAGGCGGCAUCCUGGACCGAGAUUGACGCUGAGGAGCGAAAGCUAGGGGAGCAAACGGG
rnacentral:rRNA from 1 species